rnacentral:rRNA from 1 species
AGCGAACGCUGGCGGCAGGCUUAACACAUGCAAGUCGAGCGGGCAUCCUUGUGGUGUCAGCGGCAGACGGGUGAGUAACGCGUGGGAACGUGCCCUUCGGUUCGGAAUAACUCAGGGAAACUUGAGCUAAUACCGGAUACGUGCGAGAGCAGAAAGGUUUAUCUGCCGAAGGAUCGGCCCGCGUCUGAUUAGCUAGUUGGUGAGGUUACGGCUCACCAAGGCGACGAUCAGUAGCUGGUCUGAGAGGAUGAUCAGCCACACUGGGACUGAGACACGGCCCAGACUCCUACGGGAGGCAGCAGUGGGGAAUAUUGGACAAUGGGGGCAACCCUGAUCCAGCCAUGUCGCGUGAGUGAUGACGGCCUUAGGGUUGUAAAGCUCUUUUCUCCGGGACGAUAAUGACGGUACCGGAGGAAUAAGCCCCGGCUAACUUCGUG